UGAAGGACGUAGAAGCCUGCGAUAAGCCCGGGAAGUCGGCAAUCAGACUGUGAUCCGGGGAUUUCCGAAUGGGGAAACCCAGCUGGAGUCAUGUCCAGUUACCAACCUGCUGAACACAUAGGCAGGCUGGAGGGAACGUGGGGAAGUGAAACAUCUCAGUACCACAGGAAGAGAAACAAAAGUGAUUCCGAGAGUAGUGGCGAGCGAAAUCGGAACAGGCCAAACUCAAUAAGUGUGAUAGCCGGCAGGCGUUGCUUAUUGAGGGUUGUGGGGCCGCUUAGUUGAUUCUGCCGAGUCAACACAGAGUAAGAAACCAUCGAUGAAGUCGAAGCGGACUGGAAAGUCCCGACAUAGAGGGUGAGAUCCCCGUACACGUAAGUCGAUGGCUCUGAAGCGUCACCCCAAGUAACACGGAACCCCUGAAAUUCCGUGUGAAUCUGGCGGGACCACCCGUUAAGCCUAAAUACUCCUUGAUGACCGAUAGCGGACAAGUACCGUGAGGGAAAGGUGAAAAGUACCCCUGGCGGGG
rnacentral:rRNA from 1 species